UACAGAGACCUCAAGCGUUAUCCGGAUUUAUUGGGCGUAAAGCGUCCGCAGGUGGUUCGUUAAGUCAUUGGUCAAAUCCCGGGGCUCAACCCCGGAACUGCCGAUGAUACUGGCGAACUUGAGACCGGUAGAGGCAAGCGGAAUUACAGGUGUAGCGGUAAAAUGCGUUUAUAUCUGUAAGAACACCAAAGGCGAAAGCAGCUUGCUGGAACGGUUCUGACACUCAUGGACGAAAGCGUGGGGAGCGAAAAGG
rnacentral:rRNA from 1 species